ACAGAUUUCUUCAUGAGGAAAAUCGCCCAAUUAAUUUAUCAUCAUUUAUUGAUCAAAACAAAAUCUCUUAACAAAACAAGAAACCGAUUUGUACAAAUAUUAUAUUAGAACAUCUAGAGAGGAUAUCUAAAAUGAUACAAUCAAGUAUUGAUUAAAACUUGCUCCAAAUUUUAACCAUUUCUACAACGGUAACAUUCACUAACAAAUGUUUUGAAUAAACUUACUCAUAUUAUGUUAUAAACUUAUUCAUGUCAUACUUGUGUCAUUUUAACUUAUUUUUUUUGACACAUUUGUUAUUUUUAAAUUAAUUUUUAAUAUCUUCAAAAAAAAUAUUAAACAAGUCAACACGAUUAAUAUGUUUGUUUUGUGUUUUUGUUCUCUCUUCGUUUGUGUCUGUGUUUUCGUAAACUUUCUUUUGUUGUUGUUCUGUUGUGUGUAUGUAGUAAAUGUGUUUUAUAUUUUGUGUGUAGAUAUUGAUGUCUUAUUUUUCUUUGAAUUUGUGACAGUGGGAAAACUGAAUUUUUGCAGAUGAAGAGGCAACCGGUAGCAAAAAGAACCCGUACUCAAACAAAUCGUAUGAUUGAGGAGAAGUAUAAAAAACUUAAGGAAAAUAAAGGACAAGAAAAAUAUGGGACUGAAUCGUCUAGUUCUAAGGUUAAUGAAUCAUCCAGUUCUAAGGAUGAUGAAUGUGUCAAAGUAUUUGAAAUGGACAAUGUGAGUGACAAGGAGGAGAAGGAGGAGGGGACUAGAUCAAAACAAGUUAAUGAUGAUUGUGGUGGUUUUUUGUCAGAAUCAGAAAGUGACAAUGAUGGAAGUGAUCCUUUAAGGCCAAUUAUAGUGGAUUGUUGUCCUGAAGAAGAUUUGGAUUUAGAUGCAGAGAAUAGUAGUUUGGGGUCAAAGACAACUGAUGAGUAUGUAAUUAAUGAUGAUUACGUGGAUGAUGGUGAUGAUGACGGUGAGAAGGAGGAGGAGGAGGAGAGGGAAACUGAUGAUGAAAGUUUACUGGAAGCGCGUACGAAAAAUAAGGGGAAAUUAAAAAAGUCAACCAAGGGAAAGCACAACCGUGUGCUGAAACAUGAUCAUGUUGAAAGAAUUAUUCUGAAAUCCAUUUUGAAUACGGAAGAAACUCCCUCAGAAGAUUAUCCAUCUUCCAGCAGAGAGGUUUUAAGAGACGAGAUGAGUCAAUCAUUCAAUGAUGAUGAGGAGUCAACUUCAUCAGAGAAAUCAGAGUGUGAUGAUGGCUUGGGUUAUCUCUGGGCUGAGAUGGACUUUGCUCGCAAAGUCAGCGAGCUGCAUUCCGCUAACUCUCCCAUCGUAUCUCGAGUUUGUAAUUUGAUUGAGCACAAAAGCAUUAUAUUAGGAUUGUUUUUAUUGAUUUAAGUUUUUAUAUUCUUUCUUAGAUUGCAUUGUAACCUAUUAUUGUUUCCUGUUGGCUGCUUGACAAUGUUAUUCAUAAAUUACUCUGUGAACAAGUAUUGGCGAUUAGAUUUUAAGCAAUGUCAUUAUCAUCCUUAUUGUAAUUAAAAAGUAAAAAACAGGCUUACUCUUUUUUCUUUUUCAGGUGUAGGCUUUAGUUUAAAGGAUAUACAUGUUGAUUUAAUAGAUUUAAUUGAGGUUCCAACUUCAAAUUUAUAUGUCGUAGACAGAAGUGAAAUUGCUCUGUAGUAAUUAGUAUACCUAUUGCUCUUUAUUCUUUAAAUUACUUCUAAGUUUUAUGAACUUCUAUUUUACAUCAGAGGCUUAUGGAAUAAAUUGAUGAUGCAAGGGUCAAAUGCAUGACUUUGUUGCUGUACUAUAUUAUAUUGAUUCAUAUUCUUAAUUGUGAUCAUUUAGCAUGAAAAUAUGAUUGUUGAACUGAUGAGGCAUAUGCUAUAGUUAACAAAUUUAUGAUUGUUUUAGCUAAUCAAAUUCAUUAUAUUUUUGUUUAUUGUUAUUUGCAUUUAUGACAAAGAUGCUUGACUUUGUUGCUGCCCUAAAUUAUCUUUAUUCAUAUUCUUAAAUGUGAUUUUUAGUAAUAAAAAUAUGUUUGUUGUACCGUUAAGGUAUAUAUGUUCAUCAUUAGUGUUAACAAAUUUAUGAUUGUUUUAGCUGAUUAAGUCUAUUCCUCCAAUGACAAAAAUUGUUUUAGAUGUUAAUCAAGAUGAUAAUAUAUUUCCAUUUUUUUAAUUGCUUUAAACUAGAUAAAAUUUAAAUUAGAAGCACUGCUUUCUAUACAAAGUUUAGUACUUGAUAUACUCUAUCACCAAUUUCCGACAUAACCCGCUCAUUUCUUUCACUCUCUCUUAAUUCUAAAUCAUUUCUAUAAAAAAAUCAACAAUGAUAUUUAUCUUUAUUUCAAUAUUUAUAGUUCUGAAUGAAAUUUUUUUUUCUUCUUAGGCUCAUUAAUUCUUGAUGCAAGAUUAGCUAAAUUCAAAAGCUUGGAAGCAUUGAAUUUGAGUAAUAGUAACAUAAAAAAUUCUCUAGAAACCCAUAUUAAUCAAUUUACACUGUGUUUUUAUGUUGAAACAUGAUAAAUAAGAGCCCAAUAUUGUUUUCUAAUUGGUUUUUUUUUUACAAAAUAAAAAUGAAAAUGCUAUUUUUAAAUUUAUUUUUAAAAUUUAAAAAUGUGUUCAGUAUCAUUUUCAAAAAUAAUCUCAAAAAUGAGAAAAACAAAAAUAUGUUUGGUAAGAAUAUCUCAAAGAAUUAUUAUUGGAAUAAUUUCCAUAAACUUAAGAUUAAGCAAUGUAUAUUGAUUAUUUUAAUUUUAAGAAUAAAUUAGGUGAUCUUUCUAUUUUUUUGUUCAAAGAAAAAUGAUAAACCCUACAUAUUUGAUCUAGUUAAUAUAUAAAAACAUAAAUAUUAUAAUGUAUAUAAAAAGAAAAGUUUUUUGUGAGGGAAAUUGAUUCUUUGGGUACAACAACAACAACAACAAUAAGAAUAAUAAUCUCUAGGUGACAUAUGUUUUAACAAAUUUUAAGAAGAUGACAUAUUUUUUUAAAAUAUUCGAACGAUUGACAUUCUAUUAACUUUUGCCAUUAAUUUUAAUAAGAAUAGUAAAUUAAAUGAUGUUUCUACCCCACAAAAUGAUGUUUCUACCCAUACUCACUCAUUUUUAAUUUUUUAAAUAGAAAAAUAUAAAAAAAUUAAACAUAAGUCUAAUUAACAGGUUUUUUUUUGUAAAUCUAAUAACUUUUAAAAAAAUUCUUGUUGAUCAAACUGAUUUGUGAAUAUAAAGAAGCAAAAAUCUUAUGAAUUAUAAAGUAUUGUAUAAAUUCAAUAUUUUCAUCUCUUUGGCUUUAUGAAAAAAAAAUAUAUUUUUCCAAUUCUACCCUCGGCUGAUUAAAAUUAACAGCAAAAGUUAAUGGAAUGUCACCCACUCAAGUGUUUUCAAAACAUGCGUCAUCUUUUUGAAAUUUAUUAAAAUAUGUGUCACCCAGGGAUAAUUAAACCUAAUGAUGAUAAUAAUAAUAAUAAUAAUAAUGUUGAUAUUAUUAUUAUUUCAAGAGGAGAUAAAGAGAAUUCUUAAUUUUGGAACUUAAUAUUGUAUUGGAAAAUAAGGAAAAUAAGAAAAAGUCGUUUCUCAUUUCUUUUGUUAAAAUGUGUAGAAUGAAUUUUAUAUUUUAAAAAAUAUUUCAGAAACAAUCUACCGAACACGUAUCUAAUAUUUUCUAAAUUCAAAAAAUAAAAAACAGCAUAUAAAAACAAUGCCAACGCACCCAAUAUUUGCAUUACUGACACACAAUUCCUACUUCCCAGUGACUUGUUGGUCAAAGUACUUUGCCGAAAUUAAAUAUGAAGACCAGUUUUUUUUUUUUUCCGCUUGGGCAAAUAGUUUUGUUUAAUGCUAUGAGAAGAAUAAAUAAAGUUUAAGAAAACAACUAAUAGAUUAUGAGUUUCUCUUUACAUUAUCCAACAAAUUUAGAGAUUAGAGAACCAAUAUCCAACGAAAAACACGAAGUCAACAAACUCUUCCGCAGAAAAUCAUUAUUUUAAACAAUGACAAUUGCUUAAACGCUUUUUGAAUAGAUUAUGAUGAGCAAGAAUUGCUGACUGCUUUUAUAUUAUUAUUAUUAUUUUAUUGUUAGAUUAAUUGAAACGCUUUUGCAAUCAACAUCAUAUUAUAUGAGAAAUAAAUUCAUAUCAUUCUAUUAUUAUUUAUGUGUACCAAAAUACUUAGACAAUUUGAUUUCUUGUCCGUUUUAUAAGUCUUAUAUUGGGUUCAUGAUUGAAUGCACUAUAAUUAGUUUUCGUUUUAUGAAAUCUGAGCUUUUUAUUUUCACUUUCAGGAAUAUGUAAUUUGAAGAAUCUUCUUGAGUUGGAUUUAAGCUCAAAUAGCCUUGAGGGUCACCUUCCUCGGUGUCUCAACAACUUGACCCAUCUCAAAGUUCUUGAUAUUUCUUACAAUCAGUUAAGUGGAAACUUUCCUUCUGCCUUGACCAACCUCACAUCACUUGAAUAUUUGGAUCUCUUUUUCAUCGAUUUCCAAGGAACAUUCUCAAUAAAUUCAUUGGCUAAUCAUUCAAAGCUUGAGGUCUUGCGACUCUCGUCAGGAAACGAUAUGUUGCGAGUGAAAACCGAAAACUGGCUCCCCACAUAUCCUCUCAAGGUUCUCCAAUUAUCUCACUGCCACUUAAAUGUCAAUAAUAGUUUUCUUUUACACCAACACCACUUAAAAUUCCUUGAUCUCUCUCACAAUCAGUUGGUUGGCAAUUUCCCAACUUGGUUGUUGCAAAACAACACAGGAUUAGAAGUUUUGAUUUUGUGGAAUAACUCAUUCUCAGGAAUUCUUCCCCGACUUCCCAAUGCCAAAUACGAUAAGCUUCGUUAUCUAGAUAUUUUCACUAACAAUUUCUCUGGUACGGUACCAGAUAAUUUGGGUAUUGUCUUUCAGAAAUUGAUAUAUUUGGAUAUGUCAAAAAAUAGUUUUGAAGGUAAUAUUCCUUAUUCAAUCAGUGAGAUGAAAGAGCUAAGUACUUUGGAUUUGUCUAGAAAUAAUUUUUCAGGAGAAUUACCUCGAUCUAUACUCUCUAGUUGCCUCUCCUUAGAAAUGUUGGACCUAUCAAAUAACAAGUUCUAUGGCCAACUUUUUCCCAAUUUUAUGAACUUGACUCAGUUGAGUUCCUUACUUUUGGACAACAAUCAUUUCAGUGGGAAGAUGACAGAUGGUUUGUUGAGCUCGCCUUUGCUGGGGAUAUUAGAUGUAUCCAACAACAAGUUAUCCGGCGAUAUUCCCCACUGGAUUGGCAACUUCUCACACCUUUGGCUUCUUUUAAUGUCAGAAAAUUAUUUUCAAGGUAGUAUUCCGGUCCAGCUCGGCAAUCUUGAAAGUCUUGGGUUUAUAGACAUCUCCGAAAAUAGUUUGUCUGGGUCCAUGGUAUCUCUCUCCAGUCUUUCAUCAGUGGAGCACAUUUAUCUGCAUAACAAUGCAAUUAAUGGGUUAAUUCCAAUUGCAUUGCUUAGAAGCUCUACAUUAUUGACUCUCGAUUUGAGGGACAAUAAACUUUUUGGUAGGAUUCCUCAUCAGAUCAAUGAGCUUUCGAAUUUGCAUGUUCUUCUUUUGAGAGGGAAUUAUCUACAAGGACGUAUUCCUAAUCAGUUGUGCCAAUUAAGAAAAUUAGGUAUCAUGGAUCUUUCACAUAACAGACUUAAUGGGCCGAUACCUUCAUGCUUGGGUAACGUGUCAUUCUGGAGAGAAGCGAUUGAUGAUUAUUCAUAUGAUUCCACUCUUGAUCGGCAGCCGCAAGGUAAACCACAUGGUGGAAUAGAUCAAAAAGUAGGUGUAGAAUUUGUGACAAAGUAUAGAUAUGAAUUUUUCAUCGGUCUCAAUCUCGUCGACAUGGCUGGAUUGGAUUUGUCGAGCAAUGAGUUCAGUGGAGAAAUUCCAUGGGAAAUUGGGCAUCUUCAACAUAUUCGUGCACUUAAUCUGUCGAAUAAUUUACUAUCAGGUGCUAUACCAGAGAGCUUCUCCAAUCUGAAAAUGAUAGAGAGCCUGGACCUUUCCCGCAACAAAUUAAGUGGCCGAAUUCCUCCUCAACUAACUGAGCUCAACUUUUUGUCAAACUUCAACGUGUCAUACAACAAUUUGUCCGGCCCAAUCCCAGACAAAGAGCAGUUUGCCACCUUUGAUGACAGCAGUUAUGAAGGUAAUUCGGCUCUUUGUGGCUCAAUGAUAAAGAGGAAAUGCAGCAGUGCGUUGGCACCACCAGCGACACCUACAGGAGGAGGAGAAGAUGAAGGCGAUUCUGUGAUUGAUAUGGUGGCAUUAAGAUGGAGUUUUGGAGCAUCCUAUGUGUCAGUGAUUUUGGGCUUCUUUGCAGCACUUUGGAUAAACUCGUACUGGCGCAGACUGUGAUUCUAUUUCAUUGAUAGAUGUAUUGACACGUGCUACUAUUGGCUUUUCAAAUACGGUUCUGCCGUGUAUAACUUAUCGUGAUGUAUUAUGUAUCCGUUGGCUUUUCUCCAAACAGCUACGUAUCCAUGUAUGUGUUUGUUCAAAUUCUCAAUCUGGUUCCAAAACUACACUCAUGUUUCCAAUUUCGUUUAAUUGGUUGCAUUAUGAUUAGACUUACGGCUUCUUCUUCAGUUUCUGUUGGUUGCAAAUUUAAAUUUAAUAAGGAAUUUUGCCAUCUAGUACGUUAGUUGUAAUAUCAUCAGUGCAGCAACUUCAACUGCAAAUCUAAGCUAUCAGUAGGUCAAUUCAACUCCAUUCCGAAUGUAUUGUUCACACGCACCAACCAAAUACCAAAUAAUUUGAGGCAUAAUUAACAACAAAUCCCAGUCUAAAACAUUAAAACCCAUUAUAGAAUAACAUCACAGAUCUCUUGAUGAGGAAAAUCGCCCAAUUAAUUUAUCAUCAUUUAUUGACCAAAACAAAAUCUCUUAACAAAACAAGAAACCGAUUUGUACAAAUAUUAUAUUAGAACAUCCAGAAAGGAUAUCUAAAAUGAUACAAUCAGGUAUUGAUUAAAACUUGCCCCAAAUUUUAACUAUUUCUACAACGGUAACAUUCACUAACAAAUUUUUCGAAUAAAAUUGGGAGAAAUAGGACGGCACCUUUGCAUUUUAUUGCUUUGCUCUCUCUUUUAACGAACAGAAGCACAGAUGGAUUGAUGAUUGUACAUCUCAGUUACCCCAUUUGUGAUCUGCUGUCGGUUUCUUCUCCGUUUUCUGACAACUAUAAAUCCUUCACCAUUCCCAUUUUUUUGGUUUGCAUCUUUGGGUUUUUUCUGUUCUUGAUCAUUGGACUGAGAUGCCAAGUUUGUUUUGCCCUUUUCAUUUCCAUAAAGGAUCUUUAU
rnacentral:lncRNA from 1 species